rnacentral:lncRNA from 1 species
GAGGAGGACCCAGAACAAAGGUGUGCCUGCCCUUAUAUAGACAUCUUAAAUUGCCCACCCUGGAGUCCAAGACCACCCCCAGAAACAUCAUACAUACAUCACAGAAGGGGUGUAGCCCAAGACCACCCCCCAGAUACAUCAUACCUACAUCACAGAAAAGGCGGUCUACAACAGAAAUCUGAGUGCGUUGUGUAUCUCCUGUCUGGCAAGUUACCUGAUUGCAUUAUCUGGGUUUUGGCCAAUCUUUUGUUAUUAUAACUACUUAAUUCCUGAAUUUAGGUCACAGGUCACAGGCUCACACCCUGUUCAUAUCUUGAAUGUGCCCUUAAGACAGGAUUUGUGAGGAAAGAGACAAUGGGGAGGUUUCCCACUUUUGACCUUGCAGAGAAAUAUUUGAGGUCAAUUUGUUCAGGACCUAAUCUGUGGGGUUUCAGACAUGUGGUAUAUAUAUACAGUUAUGAACAUUUAAUUUUUUUAUAUAUGACCUUAAAAUUCUUAUAACACUAGCAAGCAAGAAAUACACUGCAACAUUUUAGCACAGGUCCGGCUUAUAUAUUUUAUACUGCAGUUCAUCUCUUUAACGUAAUGGUUUUCAACCAGUGUGCCGUGCCACCCUGGGGUCUCUUGAAUGAUGGUCAGGGGUGCUACGGGCAACACUGGCCUCAGUCCCUCUUUCCUUCCCUCCCUCUUCUGAUGCCCUCUUGUGUCUCUGCCUCCCAAAGGCUUGCACAGGUGUUUGUUGCAGCAGCCCUGGCUACAAUCUCCCCAGGCGAAUGGUGCCUCUGGGGCUGGCCAGGGGUUGCUUCCUAGGCCCCUGUGGGGCAGUGUGAGGAGGCACCUCUCUUUGGGACAGGAUGGGGGGCAGCUCAGAGACCAGGGAGCGGCAGCAAUAGCUGCCCAGAAAACUCCCAAGGAGAGGGGAGAAGAGAGGAGGCUGAGGGCACACUCCACAAGGGAGUGUGUUCGAAAAAGGGUGAGAGGCUGCCAGCUCUGCAGGCAAGGGGGGACCUAACUGGGCUCCCACAAGGGAGCUGCAGAAAGAAUGUACCGUAUUUUUCGCUCUAUAAGACGCACCAGACCACAAGACGCACCUAGUUUUUGGAGGAGGAAAACAAGAAAAAAAAUAUUCUGAAUCUCAGAAGCCAGAACAGCAAGAGGGAUCGCUGUGCAGUGAAAGCAGCAAUCCCUCUUGCUGUUCUGGCUUCUGGGAUAGCUGCACAGCCUGCAUUCGCUCCAUAAGACGCACACACAUUUCCCCUUACUUUUUAGGAGGGAAAAAGUGAGUCUUAUAGAGCAAAAAAUACGGUAGUUGGUCAAGAGAGUCAUGGACCCAAAAAGGAUGAAAGCCUCUGCUUUAAGGCCACAGCUGUGGGUUAAUAUGCCAGUUCCAAAGUGAAGAAUUAUUUUCUGUUACCCACCCCAAAGUCCCCCCAUAGCUGUCACCUUUCCCCCUUUUUUAAGGGAAGUUCCCUUAUUUCGAAUAGGAUUCCUCGCAAGAAAAGGGAAAAGUUUACAGCUAUGAGUCCCCCCCCCCCCAACUGACACUUGGAGGUUUCCUAACAGGCAAGAGGAGAGGCAAUUGCACCCAUACAGUGAUAAUGUAGGCUUUAUUCACAUUAAUGCAAAAUUCCAGACUAGCUCACUUUACUAGUUGGUGAGGGAAUAGAAAAGAAUGAAAUCACAACCGCUUUCAUACAAGGAGGUUCUUUGGAUUUUCAUUUUUUCUGUACAGAGGGGAAGCUUAUGCCUUAUAGACACAUUUAUCAUGUGCCACAAAUAGUCUUGUGUGUAUUGAGGGGUUCUUUUCCGGCAAUCUUUUUUAUGUCUACUCAGAAAUAAAUCCCACUGAAUUCAGCACCCAGGCAACUGUGUCUUGGGUAGCAGCCCCAUCUCCCGAAAAUCUUGUUUUGCCCUCAUUAGAUAUUGUUUGGAUGUCGUGCAUAAAAAAGAGAUGCAUUUUGCAGCUUUCUGCAUUCAGUUCUACAUGCUGCCAUUAAUCUCUCCCCCCCCCCCUUCUAACCCUGCAUUACAGGUUUGAUUCCUUUUGCUGCACAGAUGUGGUUUGCCUGACGACAGCCGGUUCCUGAUGGCUGCACAGAACCAGCAGGGAAGCAGUCUUCUCCAGGAUGGAAAGUGAUUGGCUGCCUGCCUCCUGUUGCCGGACAGCGUGCCUCUCUCCUCCUCCUAUCAACCUGACAUCUAGCGGACGAUUAUUAGAACUCUAGAGGAGUAGCCUGGAGGAACGCAUCAACGCUCCCUGCUCAUCCCUCCCUCCCUUCAGGGCCAGCGCGAGACAUUUCGCUGCCUAAGGUGGAAAGUCGCAUUUGAUGCUUCUCUCUCCGGUCAAAAUGUAUAGCAGCGAAAGGUCUGCCAAGUUAUUUUGGUACCCGAGGCAGAAAAUCUCACAUGCAUCUCUCCACAUCCCUGAUAGUAAAGGCACAACAAUAAUAAACUGCUGUCUUUUCAUGACACCCC